rnacentral:rRNA from 1 species
UACAGAGGAUGCAAGCGUUAUCCGGAAUCACUGGGCGUAAAGCGUCUGUAGGUGGUUAAAAAGUCUACUGUUAAAGCUUGAAGCUUAACUUCAAAAAUGCCCGUAGAAACUUUUAAACUUGAGUAUGGUAGGGGCAGAGGGAAUUCCAGUAGGAGCGGUGAAAUGCGUAGAUCUUGGAAAGACCACCAAUGGCGAAGGCACUCUACUGGGCCAUGACUGACACUAAGAGACGAAAGCUAGGGGAGC